rnacentral:tRNA from 5 species
GGGCGAUUAGCUCAGUUGGUAGAGCAUCUCGUUUACACCGAGAGGGUCGGGGGUUCGAGUCCCUCAUCGCCCACCA